rnacentral:rRNA from 1 species
AUUGAACGCUGGCGGCAGGCCUAACACAUGCAAGUCGAGCGGAUGAAGGGAGCUUGCUCCUGGAUUCAGCGGCGGACGGGUGAGUAAUGCCUAGGAAUCUGCCUGGUAGUGGGGGAUAACGUCCGGAAACGGGCGCUAAUACCGCAUACGUCCUGAGGGAGAAAGUGGGGGAUCUUCGGACAUCACGCUAUCAGAUGAGCCUAGGUCGGAUUAGCUAGUUGGUGGGGUAAAGGCCUACCAAGGCGACGAUCCGUAACUGGUCUGAGAGGAUGAUCAGUCACACUGGAACUGAGACACGGUCCAGACUCCUACGGGAGGCAGCAGUGGGGAAUAUUGGACAAUGGGCGAAAGCCUGAUCCAGCCAUGCCGCGUGUGUGAAGAAGGUCUUCGGAUUGUAAAGCACCUUAAGUUGGGAGGAAGGGCAGUAAGUUAAUACCUUGCUGUUUUGACGUUACCAACAGAAUAAGCACCGGCUAACUUCGUG